UUCCUUCCCGAGGGCUUUUAGUAGAUUUUUGAGAUAGUCAUUCAUGAGUUAUUGAGUUGGGAAAUGAUUUUCGGGAAGUGACUGAUUCGGAAAAAUAUUAUGAGAAUUAUUGUUUUCGAAUAUCAGUUUUUAUGAAGAUAUACGAGUGCGAGGGAUUUAGCAAAUAUUUGAGCAUGAUUGAUUUAUCGAGAUUUAUUGGGUUUUGAAUUCCGCACUUAUCAGACUUGGGUUAGAUGGAGCUUUCUUUCCGAAAGCAAUUAUUGAAUUAUAGAGUAUGUGAUUAUGCUUUCGAGGAUUUAUUGAGAUAUCGAGGAUUGAGUUACAAAUGA
rnacentral:lncRNA from 1 species